rnacentral:rRNA from 1 species
UACGUAGGGACCAAGCGUUGUCCGGAAUCAUUGGGCGUAAAGAGCGUGUAGGCGGCUUGUUAAGUCUUGCGUGAAAUCUCGGGGCUCAACCCCGAGCGGUCGUGAGAAACUGGCAGGCUAGAGUGCGGGAGAGGAGAGUGGAAUUCCUGGUGUAGCGGUGAAAUGCGCAGAUAUCAUUUGGAACGCCAAUGGUGAAAACAGCUCGCUGGGAAUGAUCUGACGCUGAGACGCGAAAGCCAGGGGAGCGAACGGG